GGGAUCUCUGGCCCGAGCCUCCGGCCGUCUCUGAGCAGUCUCCGCACCGCCUCUGAGCCUGGAUCUCUGCUGGGUCUCGGGCCCCCUAGGGCGGCUCCGAGGAAUGAGACCCCGCCCUUCCUCCUGUCAAUCCCCCUUGUCCCGGCCCCCCGACGGUCCCUCCUCCUCCGCCUCCUGCGCAUGACCGGAAGCCCCGCCGCAGUCAUUCUCUCAGUACGCAGGCGCGGCGGCCGCUUGGGCUGGCGGCUCCGCGGACAUGGGCUGCUCCCCCCUCCCCACGUGGGCUUGUGCUCGGCCGACACCCUGGUCUUAGGGUCAGAGGGCGAGGUGACCGUCUGGAGAGGAUGCUGUCUGUAAGGGGCAGAGGGCCUGUGGAGCGGACCUGAGCUCAGAGUGGGGAUACACAGAGUACGUGGCCCUGGCCGAGGGUCCCCCUUGCCCCAUUCCAAGGUGUGUAAGGGAGAGCUGAGCUCACCUGGGCAGCCUGAGGGGCCCCACCCCAAGUGGUCCCUGUCUACA
rnacentral:lncRNA from 1 species